UUGAACGCUGGCGGCAGGCCUAACACCUGCAAGUCGAGCGGAUGAAGGGAGCUUGCUCCUGGAUUCAGCGGCGGACGGGUGAGUAAUGCCUAGGAAUCUGCCUGGUAGUGGGGGAUAACGUCCGGAAACGGGCGCUAAUACCGCAUACGUCCUGAGGGAGAAAGUGGGGGAUCUUCGGACCUCACGCUAUCAGAUGAGCCUAGGUCGGAUUAGCUAGUUGGUGGGGUAAAGGCCUACCAAGGCGACGAUCCGUAACUGGUCUGAGAGGAUGACCAGUCACACUGGAACUGAGACACGGUCCAGACUCCUACGGGAGGCAGCAGUGGGGAAUAUUGGACAAUGGGCGAAAGCCUGAUCCAGCCAUGCCGCGUGUGUGAAGAAGGUCUUCGGAUUGUAAAGCACUUUAAGUUGGGAGGAAGGGCAGUAAGUUAAUACCUUGCUGUUUUGACGUUACCAACAGAAUAAGCACCGGCUAACUUCGUG
rnacentral:rRNA from 1 species